rnacentral:rRNA from 1 species
AGCGAACGCUGGCGGAAUGCUUAACACAUGCAAGUCGCACGCCCUGCAAGGGGAGUGGCGGACGGGUGAGUAACGCGUAGGAAUAUGUCCAGAGGUGGGGGACAACCCUGGGAAACUGGGGCUAAUACCGCAUAUGGGCUGAGGCCCAAAGCAGUGAUGCGCCUUUGGAGUAGCCUGCGUCCGAUUAGCUUGUUGGUGGGGUAAAGGCUUACCAAGGCGACGAUCGGUAGCUGGUCUGAGAGGACGACCAGCCACACUGGGACUGAGACACGGCCCAGACUCCUACGGGAGGCAGCGGUGGGGAAUAUUGGACAAUGGGCGCAAGCCUGAUCCAGCAAUUCCGCGUGGGUGAAGAAGGUCUUCGGAUUGUAAAGCCCUUUCGACGGGGACGAUGAUGACGGUACCCGUAGAAGAAGCCCCGGCUAACUUCGUGCCAGUAGCCGCCGUAA